rnacentral:rRNA from 1 species
AGAGUUUGAUCCUGGCUCAGAUUGAACGCUGGCGGCAGGCUUAACACAUGCAAGUCGAGCGGAAACGAAGGUAGCUUGCUACCAGGCGUCGAGCGGCGGACGGGUGAGUAAUGCUUAGGAAUCUACCGAGUAGUGGGGGAUAGCCAUUGGAAACGAUGAUUAAUACCGCAUAUAUCCUACGGGGGAAAGCAGGGGACCUUCGGGCCUUGCGCUAUUCGAUGAGCCUGAGUGAGAUUAGCUAGUUGGUGGGGUAAAGGCCUACCAAGGCGACGAUCUCUAGCUGGUCUGAGAGGAUGAUCAGCCACACUGGGACUGAGACACGGCCCAGACUCCUACGGGAGGCAGCAGUGGGGAAUAUUGCACAAUGGACGAAAGUCUGAUGCAGCCAUGCCGCGUGUGUGAAGAAGGCCUUCGGGUUGUAAAGCACUUUCAGCGAGGAGGAAAGGUCAGUAAGUAAUAUUUGCUGGCUGUGACGUUACUCGCAGAAGAAGCACCGGCUAAUUUAGUGCCAGCAGCCGCGGUAAUACUAAAGGUGCAAGCGUUAAUCGGAAUUACUGGGCGUAAAGCGCGCGUAGGUGGUUUGUUAAGUUGGAUGUGAAAGCCCAGGGCUCAACCUUGGAACUGCAUUCAAAACUGACUCACUAGAGUACGAGAGAGGUUAGUGGAAUUUCCUGUGUAGCGGUGAAAUGCGUAGAGAUGGGAAGGAACACCAGUGGCGAAGCGACUGACUGGCUCGAUACUGUCACUGAGUGCGAAAGCGUGGGAG